AUAAAUAUAAUAUGCUAAGGGUUAUGUGCAUGUAUUGUAAUUUGUGAUUUCAUAAACAAUAAACAGAUUGUCAUUUCUCAGUAAUGAUAUUCAAUUUAAGGUCACAAAGAGAAGAAUUGUUAUCAGUGAUGUGUAUUAUUCCAUAAAUAUUUUGGUGUUGAAAUUUGCCUUUAUCAGUAGAUAUAUCUCAAGCUGACACAACAGAUAAAAGAUCAGCUCUCCCCCAAUUAAAUCAAAUAUGCAUCAUAAACACUAAUCUCUUAUCAGUGAUGCAGCAAUGCCUAACAAAGGGGUGCAUAUCAUCUGCAUACUUUUGAUUGGUUGAUAGUUUUUGUUUUGAAAACAAGCCACUUUUGAUUGGUUUAGGGCACAGGAAGUAAAUUUGUUUAAACAAGCAGGUGUCAGCAACUGAUAAUGAGCUACAUUUUUAGACAUGAUUUAGCAAAUUAAGAUUUUAAAUUGUACUUGUAGUGUCAAAUGUCUUGAAAUACUGUCAGCAUGAAGUAUUGUGUGAUGAAAACAAAGUGUAUUUACUACAAUGUAGUAAAUCAAAGGAGGUCCAAAGUGGCUGGAUACUGAAGAACAGUUGUAACAGGUAAAACUCUUGCCCCAAGGAAAGAAUGUGCAUUAUCACCUGCUAAAAUAGGAAGAAACAGGGGGAUACUGACUGAUGUAUGGACUUUAACACCAGGUUUUUACCCUUCAAGAGUUGGCCAACUAGAGUGAAGCAGGAGAGUGGGCUGUGCUUGACUAAGAAAAGCUGGAUUUGUUGAGAGAUCAAUACGCAUUCAAGAUCCUUAAGAAGAGAAGGACACAAGCAACAUCAGUGGUAGAUGUCACUCCAGCCCCUGCUUUUCCGGUCUCGCCUGCUGCUUUCCAGGUCCCUCCAGCUGCCAAGAUCAGGUCUAGGCACUGGCUGCCAUCCAGGUCCCCCUGGCGGUUGCGGUCGUGUUCUCAAAUGGCUGCUGUACUGGACUACUGGUCCCACCACCAUAUUUGGUCAAGGUCUCUCCAAAUGCUGAAGUCCAGGUUCCUCCGGCCACUGCGGUUCAGGUACCCCCAACAGCUGUGACCUAGUUCUCUGCAGCAGCUGCGAUCUAAAUAUAUUGACCCACUGCGGAACACUGCGGUUAAUCGUUUUUUCCAUACAAUCUUCCACAAAUGCCUCAUUUUAUAAUGAAGUGUACAAUUCUUAUGUUCAUAUUUGUUUGUGUUAUAAAGAUGAUUUUCCUGCACAUUGUGUUUUUUUCCCUUAAAACUGCAUGGGGCUAUUACUUUUUUUACUGAAACAUAUCAGCACAAAAUUGUAAAAGACUUUAACAUACUUUAAUACAAAAAAGUGUUUAAACCCACAGGAAACCACCUUGCCAAAAACCCACAAAAACUUACUGAGCAGGUUAUUGUUUGCCAAAACCUAGCGAGUGUGCGUUUCAUUGUCCAUAUGCUUAUAAAUUUAAUAAUUAGAAUGAAUUAUCUUUAAUGUAUUUUUUUUAGAUAUAUAAACUCAAGAAACUUACAUAAUUUUUGCGCCACAUUACAAGUUUAUUUGAAUUUGUGUCACUCCUAAGAUUUUCCCACGGCCUCCGAAUGUCUCUCUUACCCUCUGAAAGUGUUUGUGUUUAGAAAUUAUUUAUAACGUUAUUUUUAAUAAAUAAAUCUAUUUCAGACUAUAAAAUACUGUUCUAGCUGUUGAUAUGUCCCCUUUAUAGUUAAAACUGAGAUAACUUGUGAGUAAAUAGUUGUAAAUGGUUGUAUAUAUUUCCAAGUUUGGAAAGUUAUGUAGAUCUCAAAUGUGCUUUCAUGUCCAUAGUGCUUAUAUAUUUAAUAAUAAGAACGAAUUAUCUUUGAUGUCAUUUUAGGUUUUUUCAUAUAAACUCGAAAAACUUACAUAAUUUGUGCGCCACAUUACAAGUUUGGCAAGAAAAAAUCUUUAACAAUAUUAAAAACCAUGUGAGGAUUGAGAAAGAUUUAAAAAAAACUAUUUUGCUAUUUGACAAUUUGGUAAGCCUACAUGUAUGUCUUUGUCUUUCAACAUAUUUUAUUUGCCAUUGUUAUUUAUUGUGAUAUUGUUUGAAAAAAUUGUAUAUUGACAUGUUUUUUUUCAAUGCAUUCUUUGUAUGGAACAAUGUAAACCAAAAAGUAUAGGGACAGGGGGAAGCAGUUGCAGAGGAAAGCGGAAAAGCUUUUAAGCACCCAUAGAAUGGCCUUAACUACUUGUUUAUUUUAAAAUGAUUUAUGUGAAUAAAUGUGUUUAUUUCAAAGUUUA